GACGAACGCUGGCGGCGUGCUUAACACAUGCAAGUCGAACGAUGAAGCCGGAGCUUGCUCUGGUGAAUUAGUGGCGAACGGGUGAGUAACACGUGAGUAACCUGCCCUUGACUCUGGGAUAACUGCGGGAAACUGUAGCUAAUACCGGAUACGACCCUCGGAGGCAUCUCCUGGGGGUGGAAAGAAUUUCGGUCAAGGAUGGACUCGCGGCCUAUCAGCUAGUUGGUGAGGUAAAGGCUCACCAAGGCGACGACGGGUAGCCGGCCUGAGAGGGUGACCGGCCACACUGGGACUGAGACACGGCCCAGACUCCUACGGGAGGCAGCAGUGGGGAAUAUUGCACAAUGGGCGCAAGCCUGAUGCAGCAACGCCGCGUGAGGGAUGACGGCCUUCGGGUUGUAAACCUCUUUUAGCAGGGAAGAAGCGAAAGUGACGGUACGUAAAGAAGAAGCACCGGCUAACUACGUGCCAGCCGCCGCCGUAA
rnacentral:rRNA from 1 species